rnacentral:rRNA from 1 species
UACGGAGGAUGCGAGCGUUAUCCGGAUUUAUUGGGUUUAAAGGGUGCGCAGGCGGCACGGCAAGCCGGCGGUCAAAUCGCGGGGCUCAACCCCGCCCAGCCGUCGGAACUGCCGGGCUAGAGUGGGCGAGAAGUGCGCGGAAUGCGUGGUGUAGCGGUGAAAUGCAUAGAUAUCACGCAGAACUCCGAUUGCGAAGGCAGCGCACCGGCGCCCUACUGACGCUCAGGCACGAAAGCGUGGGCAUCGAACAGG